AACGCGAAGAACCUUACCAGGCCUUGACAUGGGGAGUAUGGUUUCCAGAAAAGGAAUCCUUCAGUUUGGCUGGCUCCCACACAGGUGCUGCAUGGCUGUCGUCAGCUCGUGUCGUGAGAUGUUGGGUUAAGUCCCGCAACGAGCGCAACCCUCAUCCUUAGUUGCCAACAGGUUAUGCUGGGAACUCUAAGGAAACUGCCGGUGAUAAGCCGGAGGAAGGUGGGGAUGACGUCAAGUCUUCAUGGCCCUUACGGCCUGGGCUACACACGUGCUACAAUGGCGGUGACAAUGGGCAGCCAACCUGCAAGGGUGCGCUAAUCCCAAAAAGCCGUCUCAGUUCGGAUUGCACUCUGCAACUCGAGUGCAUGAAGCUGGAAUCGCUAGUAAUCGUAGAUCAGCACGCUACGGUGAAUACGUUCCCGGGCCUUGUACACACCGCUAGUC
rnacentral:rRNA from 1 species